ACAAAAAGCAACGGUUUGAGUUCCUAUUGAAUCUGCCGCGUAUGGGUGUCCUUCAAAUUUAGCAAGCCGGUUUGGAAUGGCUUGUAGAGGAUGAUGGUAAAUGCAAGCACUAAAUUUCAGUGCAGGGCUUACCAGACAGCAGCAAGCGAAAAUGGUGGCAAAAAGAGUGGCCAAAAAUUGAGACCUGUGGUUGUGGGAGGCCGAUGGGCUGGAUUGGAGCUGCACACACUUUAGCCAAAGCUGGAGUUGGGGUAACUCUGCUUAGCUGCUCUUUAUCCUGGUGGUCUCAGCACAGGCUUUAGGUCUGCUCAAGGAAAGUCAGUUGAGGUUGGCAUCAAAGGAUUCUGGUGGCAGUAUUGCAAUAUAUUUUCUCUAAUCAAAGAACUUGGAAUUUCUUGGCCAUUCACCAACUGGACUAGAAGUUCUUUCUACAAUGCUUCUGAGAUUUAAGUCUAAGCCCCUGUCUUUAAUGAUCUGCAUCGACUUCCAACACCUUUAGGAUCUCUUGUUUACACAUCAGUCAUCACCAUAUUUCAGGUCUCUUCCAUUGUUGGACCGUCUAUUAGCUUUGCCUCAAGUUAAAGCUCUCAUAGAAUAUGAUGUGGUUGAGAAAGCUUACAUGUCAUAUGACUUCAUGACUGCAAUACAACUUUUUCGCGAGGGAGGCAUCUCAGCUCGACUUUAUACUGACUUUUUGGAACUUUAUUUGUUUCUCCAGAAAGUCUUUCAGCAGCUUUAGGAACUUUCUACUAUUAUGCAUUAGCCCACCAACAGGAUUUUGAUGUUUGCUGGUGCAAGGGGCCUAUGGCUGAGCUCAUAUUCAUUCCAUAUUUUCAAGAAGUAGAGCGAUUAGGUGGAUCCAUUCUUCAGGGAAUGUAUGUACAAGAUGCAGUAUCACAUGAUAAUUCAGACAGAAUUACAUCUUUUAUAGCAGAUACCAGAAGGAAGGCAAAUGCAGACAAGGACGAAGCAGCAAGACAAAGGCAACAUCAAGGCUACUCCAACUGUACCAGUCAUUCAGGCAAUGACUGGUUCCACUCUCGACAUGCUCUCUUUUAUUUUGUACUAAUGCAUACAUGCCUAUGUAUUUCUUUCUUGCACCUGAUGCAUGUAGCUAGUCUCACGGCUCUUUGUGUGGGACGCAUGCUUGAAUAUCAAUAAAAAUACU